CUAUUUUAUAGCAUCUUCUCACUUUUAAACAUGUAUUUCUUUCUUUUGUUUCCUUUGAAUAGAGCUUAUGCUAUGCAGCUUGUGUUUGUGAGUGAUACCAGCUUUGUUACGGAAGAGACAAAAAACAUAACUAUGGAUUCCACAAAGAACUCAAUAAGCUUGGUAACAAGUUUGGACUGUUGGCUUCAACUCUGAAGGAGAAAAAGGCGGCUGAAAACUCUUCAGCAUGAAUCUCAUCCUUUUAUUUGUUCAGUUUUAUUCAAGAAUGCGGUAGAAUGUAGGAAAUUAUUUACUGCAAACCCGGUUAAGAUAUUCGCAGUUGCGUGCAGAGGGUUGGAAGAUGGUGCAACAACAAAUUAAGAAUAAAAAAGAUUCCAUAGAAAGAAUAUACAUGAAGGAUUAGUCCUUAGUCUUAGCCCUUAUUUUAAAUUAGUGAUUGGAAUAUUUAUUUACUGUUUUCAUGUCAUUAUGGUGUUCCUCAGUUCUGCAUUUGAGAAUUUUAAUGUAAUUGA